rnacentral:rRNA from 1 species
ACGGGUGAGUAACAUGUGAAUUACAUGCCCUUCAGUGGGGAAUAGCCCAGGGAAACUUGGAUUAAUACCCCAUGGUAUCGCAAGAUUAAAGGUGGCCGCAAGGCUGUCGCUGAAGGAUUGGUUCGCACCCUAUCAGCUUGUUGGUGAGGUAAUGGCUCACCAAGGCUACGACGGGUACCUGGUCUGAGAGGACGAUCAGGCACACUGGAACUGAGACACGGUCCAGACACCUACGGGUGGCAGCAGUCGAGAAUAAUUCACAAUGGGGGCAACCCUGAUGGUGCAACGCCGCGUGGAGGAUGACGGUCUUCGGAUUGUAAACUCCUGUCAUCUGGGAGUAAGACCUGGCGAUGAAUAGUCGACAGGGUUGAUAGUACCAGAAGAGGAAGGGACGGCUAACUUCGUGCCAGCAGCCGCGGUAAUACGAAGGUCCCAAGCGUUGUUCGGAAUCACUGGGCGUAAAGGGAGCGUAGGCGGCGUGGUAAGUCAGAUGUGAAAUCCCGGGGCUCAACCCCGGAACUGCAUCCGAUACUGCCAUGCUAGAGGAUUGGAGAGGUAGCUGGAAUUCUUGGUGUAGC